CAGCCGCCGCGGGAAAACGGGGGGGGCAAGUGUUAUUCGGAAUGACUGGGCGUAAAGGGCACGUAGGCGGUGAAAAGGGUGGAAAGUGAAAGUCGCCAAAACACUGGCGGGGUGCUUUCUUGACCAUUUCACUUGAGUGAGAUAGGGGAGAGUGGAAUUUCGUGUGGAGGGAUCAAAUCCUAAGAUAUACGAAGGAACGCCAACCGCGAAGGCAGCUCUCUGGGUCCCCACUGACGCUGGGGUGCGAAAGCAUGGGGAGAAAACAGGAUCAGAUACCCGUGUAGUCCCUGUCUCUUAUACC
rnacentral:rRNA from 1 species